GAAAAAUGGAAAAUGAGAAUAUAAAUUACUAUAUCAUUGAUAAAAGACUAAUACCCCAGGAACAGGGAACUUCUAAAAAUGUGAGAAAAAUAUACAAAAAAACCCAUCCUUCAUAACAAUGAACUAAAAAACAUAGAUAAUUUAUUUAAAACAUUUAAAAGUGAUUUGAAAAUAUGGAAAUAUGUUCAAAAUCAUUUGUAAUCAAAAGAUGCACACAAAAUCUAGCAUACCUAUCAGAAUGGCAAAAAUUAAGAACUACAAUAACACACUCUGCUCGCAAGAGUAUAGAGAAAUGUGAAGUCCUACAUACCUAGUAGGAAAUGGAUAUUGGUAAAAUCCUUGUUGAGGAGAAUUUUGAAAUUUCUAACCAAACUAGAUAGAUGUUAACAUUUUGAUCCUGCCAUCCAAAUUCUAGGAAUUUACCCUUGAGACACAUCUCAUUCAGUAGAAAAAUACAUGUGUGUUUUUUAAGCAUGUCAUACAUUCUUUUAUAUUUAUCAGAAUCUCCAAACUAUUUUACGUUCUGCAUUUUCUUAUGUAAGAGUAAAAACAAAUACCUACCCAGAAAUUUGAAAUAGAUAUGAAUGAAGGAAAGUAGCCCUUAGAAAGAAACGUGUAUUUGUGACACUAGCCUAUGUUUAUGACAAGCCUGGGAUUUAUUGUUUUGUCAGAAGAAUGGUCACAACGUAAAUGAUUUCUUUUAGACAUUUCUUUUUCUAAAACUUCAUUUACUCAUCUCUGUUUCUACAUACCUUUCCUCGUUUUCAUACAGGUCUUCAUAGGUGAGGCGGAGUUCGGGUCUCUGGUAAGAGGCACACCUGCGGAUUCUACUGGCCUCCGUUACAGCUGUGUGCUGUCAGAACCUUACAUGGUUGUGUUUCAGGGCCUUGGGCUUCCCCGUUCUGCACAUGUGGUGAGGAAGCUCUCUGCUUGAGGGAAUGUUUGUUUCCAUCCGGACCCUCCUGGGGCAAGCGGUGCUGUCCCCGAGGGGGUCACAGCGGAGGCAGCGGUGGCAGGAAGAACUCAGUGAACGGACGAGCCCUGCGCACACAUGAAGCGGCUUUCUGCGGAGCUCUCGGAAUUUGCUGGCAACCUCUGGAGGCGGAGGUAAAUUCAGGGCACUUGAACCAUGGCAUCUGAAUAAACCAGUAAUAUGGAUAUAAAGAUGCGGUGUGAUGCUAUUAUUGUCCACAUCUGAGAAAUGGG
rnacentral:lncRNA from 1 species